UAAAAGGGGAUAACAGAGAUUAACCGGAGCAGAAAAAGUACUUUUCUGAGCCAGAGAUAACAAGAGAAACUUAAAGAAAGUGCUGAAGCAAGAAACUUUAAGCCUGUGAGUAGUGAUACUGUGGUUUGGAUGUUCAGAACAUCCAGGCACUUCCAGAUCAGUAUCAGCUUCAACGGCUCAAAGUUGUUCCAGGAAAUGAAUGAAGUGCCCUGUGUGACCUCCAGUAAGCUUGCUUAUUUCAAGAGAGCUUGGUGUUUUCUCGUGACAACCUUGCAGAUUACUUCGGUGACAAUGUAAGCCUUGUUCCAACACCCAGAGGAAAAGAAAGGUUUUUAAUGAAAUGGUGAGAGUUGAAGGAAGAAGAAUGACUAACACAACACCUUGGCCCACUCAUGGUGAAGAUGAGACUUAAAGGAAGUUUGGCUCCUACUUCCUUUCGAAAUAAUUGCAACACCUAGGAAAAUUAACAUUCAGUCAAUAGCUGGGCUCUGCCAAUGUGCAUUUUCUUCCUUGCAGAACACCGAAAAAAAAAUUGAAUUCCAGAGUACAUUUCUUACUUAGAUUAAGGACACUGACAAGGUCAUUUCUAGUCUGCCCCAGGUACCAUAUGCAAAAGGAUGGGAGUGGGAGGGAGAACACUGAUGAAGAUAACCUGGCACCCUUACUACCUGUGUGACUUUGAGGUUAACUUUUUCAGGCUAAUAUUUGUAUUUGGAAAAUGGGAGUGAUGAUUUUGUAUUUACUCGCAAAGAAGGUUAGAAGGAUUAAACAAGAUAACACAUGUAAGGCACGUAGCACUCUGCCUGGCACUGAGCAAAUGCUACAUAGGAGAUAGCUGCUAUUAAUAGCGCAACACGAUAGUUUCCUUGUGGAAUUUUCUCCCACUGACUCUCUUUCAACUAAGUGGCAGUACUGUUUUUGUAUCUAUUUUAGGAAAAAAUAAAGACCUGCAGAACAAACCUAGUUUCUAUUUCCUUGUCAUGAAAUAAGCUUUCCCUUAAGAAAUACCCAGCACAAAGACAACCC
rnacentral:lncRNA from 10 species